rnacentral:rRNA from 1 species
UACGGGGGGGCAAGCGUUGUUCGGAAUUCUGGGCGUAAAGGGGCGCGUAGGCGGCCCUCUAAGUCAGACGUGAAAUCCCUCGGCUCAACCGGGGGAACUGCGUCUGAUACUGGAGGGCUUUGAAUCCGGGGAGAGGGAUGUGGAAUUCCAGGUGUAGCGGUGAAAUGCGUAGAUAUCUGGGAGGAACACCGGUGGCGAAGGCGGCAUCCUGGACCGGUAUUGACGCUG